rnacentral:piRNA from 1 species
AGAAAGGGACAAGCUUGGGCUGCCUUG